rfam:Gossypium raimondii Chr08_contig_1323, whole genome shotgun sequence.
UGUUAAAAAUUUCAUCAAUUUGUACUGUUAAAAACUGGCAUGGCUGAUAGAAUAAUUAGGUAGUGACACGUGGUGUGCCAAGUGUAUCUCAUGCUGAUGUACAAAGAUCAAUUUUUAACAGUAGAAAUAGAAGGAACUUUUAUCA